ACAACGGAGAGUUUGAUCCUGGCUCAGGACGAACGCUGGCGGCGUGCUUAACACAUGCAAGUCAAGGAGAAGCCUCGCUUCGGUGAGGCGGACACUGGCGAACGGGUGCGUAACGCGUAUGCAAUCUACCCUCGAGUUGAGGAUAGCCCACCCAACGGUGGAUUAAUACUCAAUGAUGCAGCGGCACCGCAUGGUGACAGUUGUUAAAGCCUUCGGGCGCUUGAGGAUGAGCAUGCGUCCCAUUAGGUAGUUGGUGAGGUAACGGCUCACCAAGCCCGCGAUGGGUAGCUGGUCUGAGAGGAUGAUCAGCCACACUGGAACUGAGACACGGUCCAGACUCCUACGGGAGGCAGCAGUGAGGAAUAUUGCGCAAUG
rnacentral:rRNA from 1 species